GGCCAGGGAAGGCCUGCCCUAGUUUCACCCACCCCAUCCAUCUCCCUGGGCACACCUGCUCCUGCCAUCGGCACUCCUACUAUCAUGGCUGCAUCUGGGGUUUGGAGUUCACAGAAACCUCUUAAAAAGGCACCCAAUUGCUCAACUUUGCUAAGCAGAUGAAGAGUGAAAUAAAUGUUGCUUCACCAGCUGGUUGUUAUAAAGGCCAGCAUCACAUCAGUGGAGACAGUCCAGCCUCCCAGCCAGCCCUAAAGACACAGGCACCAGGAAAGGACCAGGCUCUCCAAGCCCCGGCCAGGCAACUUUGGCCCCAGUGGGCUGGAUGGUGGGAUGCAAUGAACCAUCCAACUUGGUGACUAAGGCUCUUUCUAACCAUGGAGUGUGGACAAAGGGAAAGUCUGUCAUCAGCAGACAAAGGACUGUGCGUGUCGGAGCAGACAAAGAAUUAAUAAAAGGGUCACUGAACCUGCUCUGAAUCUCAGAUGCAUCCUUCGUGAAGUGAAAAAAGAUUCCCCUGAGCUGCUAAGAGCAAGGAAACACAAUCCGGGCUGAGCUGGAAACUCUAGAUCUGCUACAACCUGGUUAAUUGCUACUGGGCAGAGAGGCAAAGAAUAGAUAAAAAUUUGCAGCUGUAAAAAAAAAAAAAGAAAUCUGAAAGGGAUAGAGCAGCUUAGUAAAAAGAAAGCUGGAAUCUGAAGCCACCUCCAUUCAUUCAUGGAACACCUAUGAGGCGCCUAUUCCCAUAGUGUCACAAGCACUGACUGUCGUAGGUCCAGGGAGACACAGGUCCCUCAAAGAGCUUACUCCUAGAGUAGCAGGUUUAUAUUUGUAAUUAUAAACAAAUAACUACAGUAAAAUGUGGCAAGUGGCAAGAAAGAGAAAGGCACAAA
rnacentral:lncRNA from 1 species